rnacentral:tRNA from 1 species
GGGGAUUUAGCUCAGUGGUAGAGUGCUUGCCUAGCAAGCGCAAGGCCCUGGGUUCGAUCCCCAGCUCCA